CGCGUGAGUGAUGAAGCUUUUCGGAUCGUAAAACUCUGUUGUUAGGGAAGAACAGUGCAUAGUAACUGAUGGCACCUUGACGGUACCUAACCAGAAAGCCACGGCUAACUACGUGCCAGCAGCCGCGGUAAUACGUAGGUGGCAAGCGUUGUCCGGAAUUAUUGGGCAUAAAGCGCUCGCAGGCGGUUCUUUAAGUCUGAUGUGAAAUCUUACGGAUCAACCGUAAACGUGCAUUGGAAACUGGGGAACUUGAGUGCAGAAGAGGAGAGUGGAAUUCCAAGUGUAGCGGUGAAAUGCGUAGAGAUGUGGAGGAACACCAGUGGCGAAGGCGACUCUCUGGUCUGUAACUGACGCUGAGGAGCGAAAGCGUGGGGAGCGAACAGGAUUAGAUAUCCUGGUAGUCCACGCCGUAACCGAUGAGUGCUAGGUGUCAGGGGGUAACCGCCCCUUAAUGCUUGAGUUAACGGCUUAAGCAUUCCGCCUGGGG
rnacentral:rRNA from 1 species